UACAGAUCCAAACCCCUCAGACCCUCCUUCCACUCCAGUCUCUAAAGAUCCAAACCCCUCAGACCCUCCUUCCACUCCAGUCUCUAAAGAUAACAUGGCAAUCGGAAGGGUCAAAUUGACCGCACCAAGAGGAAUGAAUCUUGAAGACCCCAAAGUGAGCGAAGCCAUUUUAGAGCAGAUUCGGGAGUACCUCUCCAAGAAUUUUCCGAUGGAAGGCGUUAAGAUGCGCUGGAGAAAACAAGACGGAGAGAUUUUCCACAAGGAUGAGGAAGAGGAGGAGUAGGAAGAGGAGCUCCAAGCAGUGAGAUACCAGCACAGGCAUGACAAGUGUGACUCAGGACAUUUUGUCAUUGAUCUCUAUUAUAAACUAAUCAAAGCGUGCUUGUAUUUCUCAAUGUUUUAUAUACAUUGGUGGUUGGUAUUACAUCAAAUAGAUUCAGAUUGGGAUUAAAGUUUAUUUAAGGCUUUUAAGUGUGUGUUUAAUGUUAUAUUAGCAACUACAACUAUAAUUUAAAUUAGAUGUGUUGAGGGUUUCAGUUUUAGAUUCAUUUUACAAUAUCUACUGGUACAACUCUGAUUUAUUUUAAGGUGUGGGUUUUAGUUAUAUGUUACCUACUGGUACAACAUUUAUAUUAUGGUGAUGGGUGUAAUUUUAAUUUAUAAUAAGUACAAUACAUAUUACAUUAGUUACUAGUGAAACUGAUUUAUUUAUUUAUUUAUUUAUUUAUUUAUUUAUUAGCAGACGCCCUUAUCCAGGGCGACUUAGAGUCGUAAACAAAAAUACAUUUCAAGAAUCACAGUACAAGUAAUAACAAUUAAGAGCAAGAAAAAUACAAUGACUUUGGUAUUUUAUUAAGGAUAAAAUAUUAAGGAUUUACAAUGUUUGUUCAACUUAAAAUAGAAAGAGAGAAAUAAUUCGCAGAGUGAUUACAAGUAGGUCAGUUUGCAAAGGCAAGAUCGGAAAAAUGGACAACUUGCAAGUUACUGCACAAUCCCAUAGGGGGCGCAAUAAAAAAAAAUACUAUGGGAAAGGGUGGAGGCAAUAAUAAUAAUGGAAUUACUGGAUUUGAAAAGUCUUGAUGCUACAAACUUUAUGAACAAGAAAUUAUGGUUUAAUUGCUUAUCGGACAGACAGGGAUCCGACAUACAGCACAUAAAGAAAAUUCUUAUUUUUUGUACAUGAUCCUAUAGCGAAAGGAAUUUGACAGCUCUUGAUCUGAGCCUCUUCCACAAAUCAGUCUGCAGAAGUUCUGAGCAGGAGCUGCAAGGGAGUCUGGGUAAGCGAGACUAGUUGCCCUAGUGCAGGGGUCAGUAACAUUGACCCUUCCAGUCCAGGUCUUUGUUCCAACCAUGUCCUUAAUCACUACCUGGAUGAAUGGCCCUCCAGGACUGGAGUUGUCUAUCGCAAUGGAAGCAAUCCUGCAGCAUAGUUUAAGAGUGGUGGCGCCCCCUGUGGGCUUUAUAAUCAGCCUGUAUUUAAAAAGAAACACCAGCAUGUGUCUGCUAAGAAAUAAAUAAAUAAAUAAUAAUAAUAAUAAUAAUAAUAAUAAUAAUAAUGUAGAGUGAAAGGACAGCAGUGUUUAGAUCCACUGCUGUUUAUUAAACCAAUGUUGCAUGACAGGAAACCAAAAAUGAUCAAAAAAAUGAUUUAGUUUAGUCAAAAGAAAACCCAGCUAAAUUAUUUUUAAUAACACAUACUGGACAAAAUCUUGACUUGAUAAUGCAGUGAAAGAGAGUCACGCAAUAUGUUUAAAAUUUUAAAGACGUGUUCUGGUCUCAAACACAGAGUCAGGUCCACCUGAUUCAAAGUGGACGCAAUGCACCAUGGGGUUAAACCAUGAAGGCUAUGUGUAAGGGUAUCUGUGCUUUGCA